rnacentral:lncRNA from 1 species
CCUGGAUGCCCAACUCCAGCACAGAGAGGAUGGGAAGAAGAACAAAAAAGGGAUGAGCAGUGAUCUCCAGUGGAUUUGUGCACCAAAGAGCACCAUCACCUCAUCCACAUGGGAGCUACUUCCUUUGGGUGGCCUUCUGCUCUUCACCACUACAAUGGAGGAGACCACAGAUGAUCACAGCGAUGUUGGAAUACACCUUGCUGUCUUGGCUGCCAUUCCCUGUGCUUUGGGACAGAGUCACAGAGCUCUGGUAAAUUCUCUGCAGCUCUUUGCUCUCCAGUCUGUCAAGUGUCUCAGUAAUGCAGGGAGAGUUCCUCCAAGAAAGAGGAAGAAGAUCCCAUAUUUGACCCUAAAGAAAGGAUGUGCCAUGGCCACUAUCUA